rnacentral:piRNA from 1 species
UCCUGUGGAUGUAGGUAGAGAAGCAUGUG